CACUGCCUUGUGCGAGAAUCGUCCUUUAUUUUAAUCCAACACUUAUUGAAACGGGAGCUUCUCUCCGUCCGCGUAAUGCAUGCCCGGAUUUGUCCGGGGAACGUGAAACGGUCGGGUGGGCGUACCCACCUUGUCGCAAGACGGGUUUCAAUUACGGACUGUUCGGCAAGGCGGUGC
rnacentral:other from 1 species